rnacentral:rRNA from 1 species
GAUGAACGCUGGCGGCGUGCCUAAUACAUGCAAGUCGAGCGAACGGACGAGAAGCUUGCUUCUCUGAUGUUAGCGGCGGACGGGUGAGUAACACGUGGAUAACCUACCUAUAAGACUGGGAUAACUUCGGGAAACCGUAGCUAAUACCGGAUAAUAUUUUGAACCGCAUGGUUCAAAAGUGAAAGACGGUCUUGCUGUCACUUAUAGAUGGAUCCGCGCUGCAUUAGCUAGUUGGUAAGGUAACGGCUUACCAAGGCAACGAUGCAUAGCCGACCUGAGAGGGUGAUCGGCCACGCUGGAACUGAGACACGGUCCAGACUCCUACGGGAGGCAGCAGUAGGGAAUCUUCCGCAAUGGGCGAAAGCCUGACGGAGCAACGCCGCGUGAGUGAUGAAGGUCUUCGGAUCGUAAAACUCUGUUAUUAGGGAAGAACAUAUGUGUAAGUAACUGUGCACAUCUUGACGGUACCUAAUCAGAAAGCCACGGCUAACUACGUG